CAGCUUUUUAAUUCAAAGUUGAAGAAAUUCAUAACCUGUGGCACUUUUGACAGCCGCCAUGUUUUCUCCAUAAAAACAUUGAUUUUCUUUGCUCAUUUUCGUGUCAACGUAGUUUUUUUGGAAAAUAAGAAGAAAGGAAGUUUAACUUACUUAGAGAAAUACGACUGAGACAUAAACACAAGCAGCAGCCGAUGUGCUUGAGUAGCAGAAGGAGCAACUGCGUUGUGAGAGGGCCACGGCUUCAGCCCUCACAAUGAUAGCUGAUUAGCUGAAGUAAUGAAGAGACAGGCUGCAGUCAAUGAGAGGCUUCUUGAGGAAGGGUUCCUCAUAUGGAAAAAGAUUUUAGCGGCGACGCAGUUGCGCGACCAGUGAAGCUCUGGCUCCGCGACCGGCGUGGAGCGCGCGGUCAGCGCGGCGCUGCUGCGGCUGCUGCGCGGGAGGAUCCCGUCCCUGCGCAUGCGCCUAGCCUUCAA